AAAGCCUGUUCAUACAAAAAAAAAAAACUCUUCUCUCUCUCUGAACGAAGUAUCCUAGAUCUUCUCCACUUGCUCUCCUCACCGACGGUGACUUCGCCGCCAAUCUAAUCGCCGGAAAUUGGUGAUGAUAACCUUAUUAUCAAGCUCACGAUUCAUUUAUACUAGUUCCAAUCCCAAGUUCCCAAUUCUUUUUGCCAAAACCUAAACCCAUUUCCUUGUAAGCUUCGAUCGAUCGCUGAAAAAUCUUCCAGUUCGAUCGUUUUAUCGCAGGAAGAAAUAGCCAGGGAGGAGAAAUAGCCAGGGAGGCAAUAAAGCAUGUAUUAAGCGAAAGCGACUUUGGAUUGAAGAAGGCGCUCAUGCUCUGGCCUAUAUCGCUCUAUCGAAGCCUCUAGUUUCUCAGGUUUUCUCUCUAACUUUGAAACCUGUUUGUUCUUGGCGUAACACGCAUUUAGAUACCAAUAUUGGAUCAUUAAGUCGCACACUCUACUGUUGCCUUGGUUUUGUUCUUGAUCUGACUAUGACUCAUGAUAAUAAAUCAGUCAUUGCAGCUAGCAGCUCAAACAAUUGGUAUGUCUGGGAUGGUAAACAGGCCUAGGCAUUGGUAGACUGAGAUAGAACUAAAGGAAAAGGAAACAUGUCUUUGGGCAAGGGUAUUGGGUCCUUCUUUAAAGUUUCAAGUGAUUGAUAUUAAUUUGCUUAUAUAAUUUGGUAGUUUUGAAGAAGCCCAUAGACUCCUAAUCAACAUGAUUGAUUCUGAAAUUUUAGCUGAUGUAUGUACAUAUAGUAUUGUAAUUGAUUCUCUUUGCAAAGUGGAGAAACUGAAAGAGUUAUAUGAACUGAUGUUAUCAAACGGGGUUUACCAGAUUCACUUUGAUCAAAGGCUAUAUGAAGGUUGAUAAAACACAAGUGUUAGUAGUGAGUUCUCAUCAUAUAGUUUAUGUUCCGUAACUAGCAUUGUACAAAUUAGGGAAUAAGUGGCUGCAUUACCCAGAUUGAUUGUGUUGUGUGUACCAAGACAUGAGAACCAAGUACAGCAAAGGAUAGCAUAUAUACUUCAAUCAGAAAGGUCCUAUUUUUGAUGUAUCAUUACUUUGCUGCAACUGAGAUAUAUAAUGUGAUCCGUGUCUUUAUUGCUGCAUAUGUUUGGAUGAUUGGAUUUGGCAACUUUUCCUACUAUUACAUCAGAAAAGAUUUUAGUCUUGCACGUUUUACUCAGGGUAUACCGAUCCUACAAAGCCAGAUCUCUCUCGGCUGCAUGAGUGGCAUUUCAGAUCUGGACUUGAUCGUUAUAUAUGGAUCAUUGGAAUGAUAUAUGCAUAUUGUCAUCCAAAUGUUGAGAAGUGGAUGGAAAAAUUGGAGGAAACAGAAACCAAGAAGAGAGUUUCAAUCAAAGGGAUUGUAGUUGUUGUUUCCGUAUUUGUUGGUUAUUUAUGGUUCGAGUACAUUUACAAGCUCGACAAGGUUUCAUAUAACAAGUUCCAUCCCUACACCUCAUGGAUCCCUAUAACGUGCGUGUUAUACAUGAGUAAUAAUAUGGAUAAUAUUAUGAUGACAUAAAUCAUUUGCAUAGAUUCACAGGACACUUCUUUCUGUCUUUAAUUUCUCUUCUUUUUUUUUACCAGGGUUAUAUAAGUUUGCGGAACUUCACCCAGCAAUUCUGAAAUUUCUCCAUAUAAAUUGUCUAACCCUUAAAAAGGCUCAAACAUCAGGAUCAUUUAUUCUUCUAAUUUUUUUAACGUUAUACUUUUGACAAUUUAUAUGUAGAUGGCUUGGAAAGGUUACUCUUGAAACCUACAUUUCUCAGUUCCACAUCUGGUUGAGGUACUUCCUACUAUAUAAAGUUUCUUCGGAGUAUACCACAUGAUCCAGUGAUGACAGAUUCGAGUUCGACUACAAAAUUUUAGAAGUGUUUUUUUUUAUUUUUUAUUUUGUGGUGUACUACUUUUAUAUAUUAGCUUAACUUUUUAGUUAAUAUUUUAGAAAUGUUUUGUAUUGCACUUAAUUACUAAUUACUAAUGUAAUGAUAUUAAUAUUUAGUGAA